GACGUAGGGUGCGAGCGUUGUCCGGAUUUAUUGGGCGUAAAGAGCUCGUAGGCGGCUCAGUAAGUCAGGUGUGAAAACUCCAGGCUCAACCUGGAGACGCCACCUGAUACUGCUGUGGCUAGAGUCCGGUAGGGGAGCAUGGAAUUCCUGGUGUAGCGGUGAAAUGCGCAGAUAUCAGGAGGAACACCAGUGGCGAAGGCGGUGCUCUGGGCCGGAACUGACGCUGAGGAGCGAAAGCGUGGGGAGCAAACAGG
rnacentral:rRNA from 1 species